GUGAAUCAUCGAAUUUUUGAACGCAAAUUGCGCUCUCUGGUAUUCCGGAGAGUAUGCCUGUUUGAGGGUCAGUAUAAAUAAAAAUCAGCGUGUUUGCUGCCUGUCGUGGUGACGCACUGGAUUUGGGUUGUUGUGCCUUCGGUUAUGUGACCUAAAAUUUUGCAUCACCUAUUUCGAACGUAUUUAAAUUGUUUUAGUUCCGUUUGCGAU
rnacentral:misc_RNA from 1 species